rnacentral:rRNA from 1 species
UUAACAUAAGGAAGUCGCAAAUGAGCGACCAAUUAGUUCUUUGAAAACUGAACGAAACAAACAACGUGAAACGUCAAUUUUUAUUUUUAGAUGCUAGACAAACUAACUUUAUUGGAGAGUUUGAUCCUGGCUCAGGAUGAACGCUGGCGGCGUGCCUAAUACAUGCAAGUCGAGCGAAUGGAUUGAGAGCUUGCUCUCAAGAAGUUAGCGGCGGACGGGUGAGUAACACGUGGGUAACCUGCCCAUAAGACUGGGAUAACUCCGGGAAACCGGGGCUAAUACCGGAUAA